rnacentral:rRNA from 1 species
UCGUCAGCUCGUGUCGUGAGAUGUUGGGUUAAGUCCCGCAACGAGCGCAACCUUGUGUUAGUUGCAAACAGGUCAAGCUGUGCACUCUAGACAGACUGCCGUGGACAACACGGAGGAAGGUGGGGAUGACGUCAAAUCAUCAUGCCCCUUAUGAUCUGGGCUACACACGUGCUACAAUGGCCGGUACAACGGGCAGCGAAGGAGCGAUCCGGAGCGAAUCCUAAAAAGCCGGUCCCAGUUCGGAUUGCAGGCUGAAACUCGCCUACAUGAAGUUGGAGUUGCUAGUAAUCGCGAAUCAGAAUGUCGCGGUGAAUGCGUUCCCGGGUCUU